AAAAGUGUAAUAAGUUUAACUUAAAUUAGUAAUAGUUAUUUUCUUGAAAAUUAAAAGAGAUGGCGGUAUUCUAGUCUGUUCAGAGGAACCUGUCCUGUAAUUGAUAGUCCACGAUUUAAAUUACUUAUUUUUUAAGUUUAUAUAUCGCCGCAGAUUGAAUAUUUUUAUUGAAAUUUAAUAUUCAAAAUUUUUGUCAAAGGAAUUCAGGUCAAGAUGUAGUUUAUAGAUAAGAAGAGAUGGGUUACAUUAAAAAAAUUUCUAGAUUUGGUUUUGUAAAUAUUGUUGAAAGUGGAUUUGAUAGUAAUUAGGGGGAGAGACUUUUUAUGAUUAAGGCUCUAGAAU
rnacentral:rRNA from 1 species